rnacentral:rRNA from 1 species
GACGAACGCUGGCGGCGUGCUUAACACAUGCAGGUCGAACGGAAAGGCCCUGCUUUUGUGGGGUGCUCGAGUGGCGAACGGGUGAGUAACACGUGGGUAACCUGCCCUUGACUUUGGGAUAACUUCAGGAAACUGGGGCUAAUACCGGAUAGGAGCUCCUGCUGCAUGGUGGGGGUUGGAAAGUUUCGGCGGUUGGGGAUGGACUCGCGGCUUAUCAGCUUGUUGGUGGGGUAGUGGCUUACCAAGGCUUUGACGGGUAGCCGGCCUGAGAGGGUGACCGGCCACAUUGGGACUGAGAUACGGCCCAGACUCCUACGGGAGGCAGCAGUGGGGAAUAUUGCACAAUGGGCGGAAGCCUGAUGCAGCAACGCCGCGUGCGGGAUGACGGCCUUCGGGUUGUAAACCGCUUUCGCCUGUGACGAAGCGUGAGUGACGGUAAUGGGUAAAGAAGCACCGGCUAACUACGUG